rnacentral:rRNA from 1 species
UACGUAGGUGGCGAGCGUUGUCCGGAUUUACUGGGCGUAAAGAGCGCGCAGGCGGUCGUUCAAGUCGCGUGUGAAAGCCCCCGGCUCAACUGGGGAGGGUCACGCGAUACUGAUCGACUCGAAGGCAGGAGAGGGAAGUGGAAUUCCCGGUGUAGUGGUGAAAUGCGUAGAUAUCGGGAGGAACACCAGUGGCGAAGGCGACUUACUGGACCACGACUGACACUGAGGCACGAAAGCGUGGGUAGCAAACAGG